GGGUUGUGAGGUUAAGCGACUAAGCGUACACGGUGGAUGCCCUGGCAGUCAGAGGCGAUGAAGGACGUGCUAAUCUGCGAUAAGCGCCGGUAAGGUGAUAUGAACCGUUAUAACCGGCGAUUUCCGAAUGGGGAAACCCAGUGUGAUUCGUCACACUAUCAUUAACUGAAUCCAUAGGUUAAUGAGGCGAACCGGGGGAACUGAAACAUCUAAGUACCCCGAGGAAAAGAAAUCAACCGAGAUUCCCCCAGUAGCGGCGAGCGAACGGGGAGGAGCCCAGAGCCUGAAUCAGCAUGUGUGUUAGUGGAAGCGUCUGGAAAGGCGCGCGAUACAGGGUGACAGCCCCGUACACAAAAGCGCAUGUGCUGUGAGCUCGAUGAGUAGGGCGGGACACGUGGUAUCCUGUCUGAAUAUGGGGGGACCAUCCUCCAAGGCUAAAUACUCCUGACUGACCGAUAGUGAACCAGUACCGUGAGGGAAAGGCGAAAAGAACCCCGGCGAGGGGAGUGAAAAAGAACCUGAAACCGUGUACGUACAAGCAGUGGGAGCACAGGUUUACCUGUGUGACUGCGUACCUUUUGUAUAAUGGGUCAGCGACUUAUAUUCUGUAGCAAGGUUAACCGAAUAGGGGAGCCGGAGGGAAACCGAGUCUUAAUUGGGCGUUAAGUUGCAGGGUAUAGACCCGAAACCCGGUGAUCUAGCCAUGGGCAGGUUGAAGGUUGGGUAACACUAACUGGAGGACCGAACCGACUAAUGUUGAAAAAUUAGCGGAUGACCUGUGGCUGGGGGUGAAAGGCCAAUCAAACCGGGAGAUAGCUGGUUCUCCCCGAAAGCUAUUUAGGUAGCGCCUCGUGAAUUCAUCUCCGGGGGUAGAGCACUGUUUCGGCUAGGGGGCCAUCCCGGCUUACCAACCCGAUGCAAACUGCGAAUACCGGAGAAUGUUAUCACGGGAGACACACGGCGGGUGCUAACGUCCGUCGUGAAGAGGGAAACAACCCAGACCGCCAGCUAAGGUCCCAAAGUCAUGGUUAAGUGGGAAACGAUGUGGGAAGGCCCAGACAGCCAGGAUGUUGGCUUAGAAGCAGCCAUCAUUUAAAGAAAGCGUAAUAGCUCACUGGUCGAGUCGGCCUGCGCGGAAGAUGUAACGGGGCUAAACCAUGCACCGAAGCUGCGGCAGCGANGUUGGGUAGGGGAGCGUUCUGUAAGCCUGCGAAGGUGGCCUGUGAGGGUUGCUGGAGGUAUCAGAAGUGCGAAUGCUGACAUAAGUAACGAUAAAGCGGGUGAAAAGCCCGCUCGCCGGAAGACCAAGGGUUCCUGUCCAACGUUAAUCGGGGCAGGGUGAGUCGACCCCUAAGGCGAGGCCGAAAGGCGUAGUCGAUGGGAAACGGGUUAAUAUUCCCGUACUUGGUGUUACUGCGAAGGGGGGACGGAGAAGGCUAUGUUGGCCGGGCGACGGUUGUCCCGGUUUAAGCGUGUAGGUGUGUGUUCCAGGUAAAUCCGGUUCACUUUAACACUGAGGCGUGAUGACGAGGCACUACGGUGCUGAAGCAACAAAUGCCCUGCUUCCAGGAAAAGCCUCUAAGCAUCAGGUAACAUCAAAUCGUACCCCAAACCGACACAGGUGGUCAGGUAGAGAAUACCAAGGCGCUUGAGAGAACUCGGGUGAAGGAACUAGGCAAAAUGGUGCCGUAACUUCGGGAGAAGGCACGCUGACACGUAGGUGAAGUGAUUUACUCAUGGAGCUGAAGUCAGUCGAAGAUACCAGCUGGCUGCAACUGUUUAUUAAAAACACAGCACUGUGCAAACACGAAAGUGGACGUAUACGGUGUGACGCCUGCCCGGUGCCGGAAGGUUAAUUGAUGGGGUCAGCGCAAGCGAAGCUCCUGAUCGAAGCCCCGGUAAACGGCGGCCGUAACUAUAACGGUCCUAAGGUAGCGAAAUUCCUUGUCGGGUAAGUUCCGACCUGCACGAAUGGCGUAAUGAUGGCCAGGCUGUCUCCACCCGAGACUCAGUGAAAUUGAACUCGCUGUGAAGAUGCAGUGUACCCGCGGCAAGACGGAAAGACCCCGUGAACCUUUACUAUAGCUUGACACUGAACAUUGAGCCUUGAUGUGUAGGAUAGGUGGGAGGCUUUGAAGCGUGGACGCCAGUCUGCGUGGAGCCGACCUUGAAAUACCACCCUUUAAUGUUUGAUGUUCUAACGUGGACCCGUAAUCCGGGUUGCGGACAGUGUCUGGUGGGUAGUUUGACUGGGGCGGUCUCCUCCUAAAGAGUAACGGAGGAGCACGAAGGUUGGCUAAUCCUGGUCGGACAUCAGGAGGUUAGUGCAAUGGCAUAAGCCAGCUUGACUGCGAGCGUGACGGCGCGAGCAGGUGCGAAAGCAGGUCAUAGUGAUCCGGUGGUUCUGAAUGGAAGGGCCAUCGCUCAACGGAUAAAAGGUACUCCGGGGAUAACAGGCUGAUACCGCCCAAGAGUUCAUAUCGACGGCGGUGUUUGGCACCUCGAUGUCGGCUCAUCACAUCCUGGGGCUGAAGUAGGUCCCAAGGGUAUGGCUGUUCGCCAUUUAAAGUGGUACGCGAGCUGGGUUUAGAACGUCGUGAGACAGUUCGGUCCCUAUCUGCCGUGGGCGCUGGAGAACUGAGGGGGGCUGCUCCUAGUACGAGAGGACCGGAGUGGACGCAUCACUGGUGUUCGGGUUGUCAUGCCAAUGGCACUGCCCGGUAGCUAAAUGCGGAAGAGAUAAGUGCUGAAAGCAUCUAAGCACGAAACUUGCCCCGAGAUGAGUUCUCCCUGAGACUUAAAGUCUCCUGAAGGAACGUUGAAGACGACGACGUUGAUAGGCCGGGUGUGUAAGCGCAGCGAUGCGUUGAGCUAACCGGUACUAAUGAACCGUGAGGCUUAACCUUACAACGCCGAAG
rnacentral:rRNA from 1 species